UACGCGAGCCCCGAGCGUUACCCGGAAUUAUUGGGCGUAAAGGGUCCGUAGGUGGUUCUGUUAGUUUCGUGUUAAAUAUGCGGGCUUAACCCGCAUGCUGCGCGAAAAACGGCAGAACUUGAGGGUGCGAGAGGUUGGCGGAACGCACGGUGUAGGAGUGAAAUCCGUUGAUAUCGUGCGGAACACCAAAGGCGAAGGCAGCCAACUGGCGCAACCCUGACACUGAGGGACGAAAGCUAGGGGAGCGAACGGG
rnacentral:misc_RNA from 1 species